GAUGAACGCUAGCGGCAGGCUUAAUACAUGCAAGUCGAACGGUAACAGGUCUUUCGGGAUGCUGACGAGUGGCGCACGGGUGAGUAACGCGUACACAAUCUGCCUUCAUCAGGGGGAAAGUCACUGGAAACGGUGAAUAAUCCCGCAUACAACUCUUAGAUGGCAUCAUCAUAGAGUAAAAGUUCCGGCGGAUGAAGAUGAGUGUGCGUCUGAUUAGCUAGAUGGUGAGGUAACGGCUCACCAUGGCGACGAUCAGUAGGGGGCGUGAGAGCGUGAUCCCCCA
rnacentral:rRNA from 1 species